UACGGGGGGAGCAAGCGUUGUUCGGAUUUACUGGGCGUAAAGGGCGCGUAGGCGGCCAGCACAAGUCAGUUGUGAAAUCUCCGAGCUUAACUCGGAAAGGUCAACUGAUACUGUGCGGCUAGAGUGCGGAAGGGGCAACUGGAAUUCUUGGUGUAGCGGUGAAAUGCGUAGAUAUCAGGAGGAACACCGGUGGCGAAGGCGGGUCUCUGGGCCGAAACUGACACUGAGGAGCGAAAGCGUGGGGAGCAAACAGG
rnacentral:rRNA from 1 species